UAGUGGCGAACGGGUGAGUAACGCGUGGAUAACCUGCCCGUUAAACCGGGAUAACGCCGGGAAACUGGUGCUAAUACCGGAUACGCUCAAUUUGCCACAUGGUAGAUUGAGGAAAGGGGAGACCCGUUAACGGAUGGGUCCGCGUCCCAUUAGCUAGUUGGUGGGGUAACGGCCCACCAAGGCGACGAUGGGUAGCCGGCCUGAGAGGGCGACCGGCCACACUGGAACUGAGACACGGUCCAGACUCCUACGGGAGGCAGCAGUGGGGAAUCUUCCGCAAUGGGCGCAAGCCUGACGGAGCAACGCCGCGUGAGCGAAGAAGGCCUUCGGGUUGUAAAGCUCUGUCCAGGGGGAAGAACGCAAUGACGGUACCCCUGGAGGAAGCCCCGGCUAACUACGUGCCAGCAGCCGCGGUAAAACGUAGGGGGCGAGCGUUGUCCGGAAUUACUGGGCGUAAAGGGCGUGUAGGCGGCGAUACAAGUCGAAAGUGAAACCCGGCGGCUCAACUGCCGGCCUGCUUUUGAAACUGUAUAGCUUGAGUGCAGGAGAGGAGAGUGGAAUUCCCAGUGUAGCGGUGAAAUGCGUAGAUAUUGGGAGGAACACCAGUGGAGAAAGCGGCUCUCUGGCCUGUAACUGACGCUGAGGCGCGAAAGCGUGGGGAGCAAACAGGAUUAGAUACCCUGUAGUCCACGCCGUAACGAUGGGUGCUAGUGUGUGGGUAUCGACCCUCAGUGCAGCAGUUAACGCAAUAAGCACCCCGCCUGGGGAGUACGGCCGCAAGGCUGAAACUCAAAGGAAUUGACGGGGGCCCGCACAAGCGGUGGAGCAUGUGGUUUAAUUCGACGCAACGCGAAGAACCUUACCAGGGUUUGACAUGUCGGUGGUACGGAGUGGAAACACGAAGGACCCUUCGGGGAGCCGGUACAGGUGGUGCAUGGUUGUCGUCAGCUCGUGCCGUGAGGUGUUGGGUUAAGUCCCGCAACGAGCGCAACCCUUACUUCUAGUUGCCAGCGGGUUAAGCCGGGCACUCUAGAGGGACUGCCGUCGACAAGGCGGAGGAAGGUGGGGAUGACGUCAAAUCAUCAUGCCCUUUAUACCCUGGGCUACACACGUGCUACAAUGGCCGGUACAGCGGGAAGCUAAGGCGUGAGCUGGAGCAAAUCCCAAAAAGCCGGUCCAAGUUCGGAUUGCAGGCUGCAACUCGCCUGCAUGAAGUCGGAAUCGCUAGUAAUCGCAGGUCAGCAUACUGCGGUGAAUGCGUUCCCGGGCCUUGUACACACCGCCCGUCACACCACGAAAGUCGGCAACACCCGAAGUCGGUGACCCAACCUGUUCGGAGG
rnacentral:rRNA from 1 species